UCCCGGGCUCAGCAGCACAGCCCAGCGAGGCCGUGGGAGGCGGCUGCGAAUCCCGCGGUGCUGCUCUGCCGGGCAGCGGGCACAGCGCUCCAGCUGCGGAUCGCCCAGGGCUGGCCCGGUGCUUCCUGCACCCAGCUUAAAAACCAAGGGACUUGACUGUCAAGCAGUCUUCAUCGAAGACAAUUCAGCAUUCUACAGGCUCGGAGCAAUAGAAAAUAAGAGAGCUGAGAGAUUCCCGGCAGCAGUAGUCACUCGUUAGUCAGGAUAUCCACCUGUGCUCUCUCCUCCCCGGGCUAAAUAAUGGGCCCUCUAAAGCAUUGCGGGGCCCGACUCUCCGGCUUCAGGUCUGCCACUUGGGCCAGUCGCUGGAUCCACAGCUCCCCACCUGAGGGCAAAGUGGGACUGCUGGAGACAAUCAUUGGAUUCUCAGCAUUUUCACUGGCCAUUCUUGGACCAGCUGGAUGGUUCCUGUGCCGCCUUUCAAGCUAUAAAAAGAAAUAGAAAACAUUCCUUCAAAAUUAAGAUCUAAAGACUACAAUAAAUUGUAAUACUCCAAAUUGGACAAUCUUGAAAGUCCCCAUUCCCACACUGCCACCCAUCCCAUGGGCCAGGUCCCAGAAAGCUUGUGGAGGUAUUGUAGAACUGGACCCAGAUGUACAGUGGUGUAAUGAUACAAAAUAGUGGCAGGUCUGCUCUGCCAUCACUGCUGCCUUGGACCGGUCUGGAUCUGCCAUCAGCUCCUGUGAGAAGUGGAAGAGCGAUGGGGAGGAGGACUGUAAACAUGCUCCUUGCAGUUUGGCUGUUGAAAACCACACCUAUCAUACUGAUUGCUGUUCGACCUUGUGUUUUAGACAAGUAGAACAUCUGUGUCUAGGAAACAUAGCCCUGUGGUAGACUUACAGGCACCCUAUCAAACAUGCUUGAGAAUCCUGCCCUCCUGUGGGCAAGAUUGAAGCACAGUGGUAAAUUAUACUUGUGUGAAUCCCUGAAAUACAGGAAGAAGCAGCAGGUUGGCUGGUCCUCCACUGUGGACCAAGCUUUGCAGUGCCUGUGUUCACAUUUGUGUUCCUUUCUUGUCUGCUGCUUUGGUGAUCCCUGGUUGGUGAGGUUACAAAAAUGAGUUUGCUCUUUGCCUUUCAUCCAUGGUUUUGUCAUUGUUCCUGCAUCCUUUCUGCACCAGCAUAUACAGGUACCAUCAAAAGUUUAAAGUAAAUGGGAAAAAAUACACAGAAAAAAUAUUUUAUAGUCAUCUCAGACUAAACAUCUGAGAAUUUAGGACAGUUUUCUUGAGAUUUUCUCUUUAAUCUUUACAUGUGUUCUUUUGGUGCAUUCCUCUUCCACCAGGAUAAAUGUUUUUCUUCAGGUCAUAAUUGUCAGGUAUUUAUUUUCAGUUUUCAGAUUGAGAUUUUUGAGAGAUUUUCCCAUGAUUGCUAUUUGCAAUUACUAUGAUAAAUACUUUGAAGUCAGACUAAAUUUGAGAAAAGUGCAGUAAAUAACACUUGUUAUGCCACAUUACGUGUGUGAUAAAAGAAUGCCUUCCAAUAAUUUCAAGUCUGUCUUGCAAGAAAAUACAGAAUAUGAACCUUUUGUGAUGCUUAAGUAUUAGCGGAAUAUAAUUUAAAAUUCCAUUAAUUCAUUUGUAAUAUCUAAUAUGAAAAUAGAUUCUGAAAGUAGGGCUGUGAAUGUGUGAAAGUGUUGUACUUGCUGUACUUCUAAAUUAUGAUUUGAGAUAAAUGGUUUGAGUUCCCUUCAGCCUUGUAAACCAUGAAGUUUUCAGAGUGAGAAUGGAAAUAUUCAUCCUGAGUGUUUAAAGAAAGUCAUACUGGCUUUUUUUUUUUCCAAGAAAUGAUAGCUUUGUCACUUAGUUGAACAGUCUGAUGUGAAAGCCCAGUUGUGUAUGUGGAAAGUUUCCCACAGAUUUGAAUUAAUGUUGGAUAUGUGCCUGCAUUCCUGGAAUCCAGAGAAAAAGCAAUGCCAGCAACUGAAAGGCACUUGGACAGGCAAUCUGAAGCCUUGCUCCUGCACACUGUGAGUGCAUCCUUUGGAAUAAUAAGGCUAUUUUGCAGAAUCUUUUGUAAAAAUCAGCUUUGAACAUUUCAGUGUAUCUUCUUGUCCUGUAUCUGAUUUCAUCGUCCUUCUCUCACCUAGUGAUGCUUAAAUAAAUCAGUAAGAUAUUACGUU